CAGCCGUAAACUAUGCGCGUUAGGUGUACUGGUGACCACGAGUCACCGGGGUGCCGAAGGGAAACCGUGAAACGUGCCGCCUGGGAAGUACGGUCGCAAGGCUGAAACUUAAAGGAAUUGGCGGGGGAGCACCACAAUGGGUGGAGCCUGCGGUUUAAUUGGACUCAACGCCGGAAAUCUCACCGGAUAGGACAGACAUAUGAUAGUCGGGCUGAAGACUCUACUUGAUGAUCUGAGAGGAGGUGCAUGGCGUCAGUGACU
rnacentral:rRNA from 1 species